rnacentral:misc_RNA from 1 species
UACGGAGGUGGCGAGCGUUACUCGGAAUCACUGGGUGUAAAGGGCAAGUAGGCGGCCUAUUAUGUGAGGGGUGAAAUCUCCCGGCUCAAUCGGGAAACUGCCUUUCAAACUGAUAGGCUUGAGGACGGAAGAGGGAAAUGGAAUUCCCGGUGUAAGGGUGAAAUCUGUAGAUAUCGGGAAGAACACCAGCAGCGAAGGCGAUUUCCUGGUCCGUCCCUGACGCUGAAUUGCGAAAGCUAGGGGAGCAAACAGA